rnacentral:lncRNA from 1 species
GAAAAUUCAUCUUCGUAAUCAGACACAAUGAACUUAUCACUUCCAAGGGGAAUGUGCAGCUUUGCACCCUCAUCCGUAAUAAGUUUAUAAGUGGUAGAUUCCACAUCAUGGUUAGUGAUAGAACCUAAUUUCGGCAGGUGACCUCUCUGGAGAUCCUCCAGGUAAUGGCGCCAAAUUUCAGAGAAUCGUAACAAAUUUAUAAGUGGUAGAUUCUACAUCAUGGUUUGUGAUAGAACCUAAUUUCGGCAGGUGACCUCUCUGGAGAUCCUCCAGGUAUUGGUGCCAAAUUUCAGAGAACGGAGUCCACCACCCUUGAUCAUUCUCUGUGUUGGAAAACAUUGAGGACAGGGAUCUACUCUGGGAAUGGUUAAAAUCAUGGGCAGCUCCA